GAUGAAGAACGUAGCGAAAUGCGAUAAGUAAUGUGAAUUGCAGAAUUCAGUGAAUCAUCGAAUCUUUGAACGCACAUUGCGCCCGCCAGUAUUCUGGCGGGCAUGCCUGUUCGAGCGUCAUUACAACCCUCAGGCCCCCGGGCCUGGCGUUGGGGAUCGGCGGAGCCCCCCGUGGGCACACGCCGUCCCCCAAAUGCAGUGGCGGUCCCGCCGCAGCUUCCAUCGCGUAGUAGCUAACACCUCGCGACUGGAGAGCGGCGCGGCCACGCCGUAAAACACCCAACCCUUCUGAAGUUGACCUCGAAUCAGGUAGGAAUACCCGCUGAACUUAAGCAUAUCAAUAAGCGGAGGA
rnacentral:misc_RNA from 1 species